rnacentral:rRNA from 1 species
UACGUAGGGUCCGAGCGUUGUCCGGAAUUACUGGGCGUAAAGAGCCCGUAGGUGGUUUGUCGCGUUGUCCGUGAAAACUCACAGCUUAACUGUGGGCGUGCGGGCGAUACGGGCAGACUGGAGUACUGCAGGGGAGACUGGAAUUCCUGGUGUAGCGGUGGAAUGCGCAGAUAUCAGGAGGAACACCGGUGGCGAAGGCGGGUCUCUGGGCAGUAACUGACGCUGAGGAGCGAAAGCGUGGGGAGCGAACAGG